rnacentral:tRNA from 1 species
GCGACCUUAGUUCAGUUGGUAGAACGGCGGUCUCCAAAACCGCAUGUCGUGGGUUCGAGUCCUACAGGUCGCG